AUUGAUUAGUCACUUAAAUAGAUGUAAAUGACUAAGAUGGGUGCUGUGAUACUUCAACUAAAAGAGCACUGUGUUUACUGUUCCUUAGCAAAACAUCUUCACAAUGAUCACCAUUCACUGCCAUGCUUUACAGUGUCUGCCUUAAUAGGAGCGAGGGCCUGGCUUACUAUUGUCUGCCUGGGCUCUGAGGGUUUGUGUGUUUCUAUCUCAGUAAGAGGGACAAUUGGGAUAAACAGCUCACAGAUGGACAUUGAGUUGAUGAUUCGGUCAGUUUGGAUUAUGUAAGUGGAGAGAAGUCGCAACUAAACUGCAUAUGAGACAUCUGUAUGCUGUAGCGGUGGAGGUCCAAGGAGCCUAGAAAUAACUAAGUCAGAAAAAGACCCGAGGGGGGAUAGGAAGUGUGUGCAUCUCAAGAGGCUGGGUCGUAGCAGGUGCUUCCUCUGACAAACACACACGACAGACCGCUCCUUAUACUGACAUCUUCCUAGUCCAGUUAACCUUGUCACUCUUGCUCUUUCUCUCACACACAAGCGCUCUAAGGCUGUGCCCUUGCCCAGGUAAGAGAUGCCCAUACAAUCUCCAACAUACAUUGUAUAAAAAAAAGGAAUGACCAAAUAAUGUGUUUUUGUGAUAAGAUUCAGUUUAUUUUAGUGGACAUCGCAAUGAAAACGACAAAACCAUGAUUUGUAAAAAUGUUUACUAAAAGAGGUCUAGCUUAUUCUGAAAUGUAUUGUAUGCAUCACCUUCCUGAAAGGUAUUGCAUAGAACUAACUUGCUAGAAGUUAUUAUUUAUGGUAAACAAAGUGUAUUGAUCUACUUCAGUAACACAUUGAUUACUUCAUUUUGAGUAAACUGUACUGUGACAGUGAGUGAUAGACUUAACUGGGCUAGUUAGAUAUUUUUUUAAUAAAUCACAUCUUGUUUUAGCAGGUUAAUGAUAAUGGCAGGGAGAAGUAAUCUUUUUAGAAAUGAAUAGAUUUGCGAGACAGUUUUCCAUUAUUUUUUACCUCCCCACAUUAUAAUUGGAAGAGAAAGUGUAAACUAUAACAUAGCCUAUUGCUAGAAAGGUAACUCCAAACACAUUUUCACUAAUAGCAGCUGCUUAUCUGGUUAAACAAAAGUUAGCCAUGUGUUGGCAAAAAUGUCCAAGUCAAGAAAGCCUACCAGCAGCUACGACUGGUACUCACGGGUGCUUUUUCAAAGCCUAUGUCAUAGACUCCAGUGAGUGUAAUGAGCUCCAAUGAGUGUAAUUUGCUCAAUAUUAGGAGUUGAGAAAUAAAGUUAUUAGAAAGAAGAUAUUCUCCUCUUUUUUACAGAACAAAAGAAAAAAAGAAAACGGCACCCUGCAAUAACUCUGCGGACUCCAAGCAAAUAGAAACUGAAGAAUGGAAGGCUCCAGAAUGUCUCUCCAUCUUCUCUUCUUCCUUCUGAUUGGACAAGCUUCACACACCAGCAUUACUCAGCCUCAGACCACUAAUGCCAUAUAUCCAACUGACAUAACCUCAAUUACCCAAGAGGAAAAUGACACCUCCAGCUCUCCCACAAAGGCCACCACGGGCUGCCUCAUCAAGCCCCAGUUGGGCUUCAUAGUGGUGACCUGCGCCGGGGGCCUGGUCCUGUUUCUGCUCGUCUCUACUGUGGUCCUGGCCUCCCAGGUGUGCAGUCUUAGGCGCCAAGCCCGUGCCCCUCGCCCCGCCCGCAGUAACGUGGACCUGGUGAGUGGCGCGGGCUACUGGGACACAGAGCACUCUGAGGGGGGCAUAGUGGGGCCCUGUGAUACCAGUGUCAUGUUGGAGGAGGUCCGUUUGGAUGGAGAAGAGGAUGAAGAGCAGGGGGAAGAAGAGGAGGAGGAAAGGGAGGAGGAGCAGGCAGAAGGGGUCAGAUGCCAAACAGGGGAUGCGAGAACAACUGGCGAAAUAGCCAUGCAGAUGCAGAGUUCCAGCUCCAGGGAUUUGUGUCUGGAAAUCCCCCAGGAUCUAGAGAACAUGCCCCUAGUGGUGUGAGUAGAGCAUUGCAUGCACUCCCUCUCCAGCCUCAGAGAGCCAUGGCCUGGCUCAGAGCUGAACUUCACUCAGGCAUAGAUAUCAACAGGCCAGAUCAGCUCCAGUCUUGUGCCUCAAGUCAAAACAAAGAGUAUUUGUUAUUUUUUUAAUAAGUACUCGAGCUAUAUGUAAUCAAUUUUAGGAGCUUUUACAUAUUUGCUUUGUAAACUGCAUUAAUCUGAUUUGGAAUGAUUUUGUCUCAAAUUUAUUUCUAUAGAGAACAUUUGAAUAGGCUGUUGGGAGCAGCAAGACAUUAAUUUGAAAUAAUGUGCUACGAACAGCACACUACUGCCAACUGCCCAAGUUAAUUAAGCUUACAGCUUACUACGAAGGUUCAGGAUCUUUGUACGGGGGGGGGGGGUCACUUAUAUUUUACAUUUGAGUCAUUUAGCAGACGCUCUUAUCCAGAGUGACUUACAGGAGCAACUAGGGUAAAUUACCUUGCUCAAGGGCAUAUUGACAAAUUAAAAACAGUGACCUUUCGGUUACUGGCCCAAAGCUCUUAACUGCCAAAUUCAAUCAUAUUAGCAGUACACUAUGCCAACUUCCCUUAAUGGCAGAGGUGUAACAAAGUGUAACAAAAAGGUAUUAAGCUUACGUAGAAAGUAUAUUUUGUUGAAGAUUGAAAUGAUAGAAACUCAACUCCAAUAUGUAAUAGAAUGGAAGCCCCCCCCCCAUCUCUAUUGACACUGUAGGCUAAAAGAUUCCUUCUCAGCAAACAAGCACUCAAACAUUGUCUACCAUAUAUAUAACUGAAUGUGGUGGCUUCUCCCCAAGACAUUAAAUGUCAAACAUUGUAUAAUAUAUGUUGUCCAAUCUAAACUGUCCUAUCUACCUGUAUUAAAAAAAUAUAAUAAUAAAACACACUCAAAUAUGCCAACAUGCUUGCUGGUCAGAUGUGAGUUCAGUUAAAAUGAUUACUUUCCACCAACUUGAUGUGAACUUCCUUUCCUUUAUCUGAAGUGAUUCCAUGCACAAAUACUAUACCAAGGGUAAACUUUGAACAUCUUGUUGCCAUCGGUGGCUGGGCACAGAGAUAGCAUUGGGCCUGCCAAGCCUACUUGUUACAUUAAUAAGUCUUCCCCUCAACCUUCACGUGUCAGUCGAGCAGUCACAGAACACCUAACUCAUUUGUUUCCACUCCUCUCUACUAAGGCUAACUUCUUUUCUCUUUUCUGUAAAAAUACAAUAUUUGUUUAAAUGCCACAACCCAAAUAAAUGGAGGUUUUGUGAACAGGUG
ensembl:lncRNA